rnacentral:lncRNA from 14 species
AUGGCUUUCUAGCAGCUGCUUCUCCAGUUGUGCCUGCAAACCCACAGCAUCCAACAGCUCAGAGGCAGAUAUCAUUAGAGAUCCCUGUAGCAGAUCGAGAAGAAAGGAUCCUGAAAUUUCUGUCAUUGUUUGAUGAAGCACAGAAAUGUGCCACUCCCACAGCAGACCAUGACAUCAGUGGAAUCAAAGGUAACUGCCAGCAAGUAAUUGGUCUGGAAAUUCAUAAAUCCUUUACUGGUUUUACAUAGCCAAGGCACUGUAUAUCUUGAUUCUGUGUGUGCCUUUUUCUAUAAUGCAUGUAAGAUCCCAGUACCAAAAAGUGCCAGGUACCUUUUUGAAUGGGGUAAGAGGUCCUUAUAUCCUUGACUGUUGUUUUUAAUGUGUUUUUCUAAGGAAGGGGUACGUGUGUGUUUGUCUGUGUGUUAUGGAAAGAUUUUUUGGGAAGGAGGGAUGAAAUGAGCAAAUUUUCCUCAGUAAGAGUUCCUAUAGGCAUGCAAGUUUCCAGAGUGUUGGAGAUAGAUACUUCUUUGUGACGAAAUCCAAGAAUGGAGAGGAGAGCAAGGUGUGAAAAAACU